AUUGAACGCUGGCGGCAGGCCUAACACAUGCAAGUCGAGCGAGCGGCGGACGGGUGAGCAAUGUAUGGGGAUCUGGCUGAUAGAGGGGGAUAACUAGUGGAAAAGGUGGAUAAUACCGCAUACUGUCGGAUGAACCGAUAUUGGAUUAGCUAGUAGGUGGGGUAAAGGCUGACCGAGGCGACGAUCCCUAGCUGGCCUGAGAGGAUGAUCAGCCACACUGGGACUGAGACACGGUCCAGACUCCUACGGGAGGCAGCAGUGGGGAAUCUUCCACAAUGGGCGCAAGCCUGAUGCAGCAAUGCCGCGUGUUUGAAGAAGGUCUUCGGGUCGUAAAGUUCUUUCAGCGGGGAGGCGUUACCUGCUCAAGAAGCCCCGGCUAACUCCGUGCCAGCAGCCGCGGUAAUAC
rnacentral:rRNA from 1 species